CAGCCGCCGCGGUAAUACGGAGGGUGCAAGCGUUGUUCGGAAUCACUGGGCGUAAAGCGCGUGUAGGCGGCCCAUUAAGUCUGAUGUGAAAGCCCGGGGCUCACCCCCGGAAGUGCAUUGGAAACUGAUGGACUCGAGUCCCGGAGAGGAGGGUGGAAUUCCUGGUGUAGCGGUGAAAUGCGUAGAUAUCAGGAGGAACACCGGUGGCGAAGGCGGCCCUCUGGACGGUGACUGACGCUGAGACGCGAAAGCGUGGGGAGCAAACAGGAUUAGAUACCCUGGUAGUCCACGCCGUAAACGAUGAGCACUAGGUGUCGCGGGUAUUGACCCCUGCGGUGCCGUAGCUAACGCAUUAAGUGCUCCGCCUGGGGACUACGGCCGCAAGGUUAAAACUCAAAGGAAUUGACGG
rnacentral:rRNA from 1 species